rnacentral:rRNA from 1 species
UGGGGAAUUGUUCGCAAUGGGCGCAAGCCUGACGACGCAACGCCGCGUGUAGGACGAAGACCUUCGGGUCGUAAACUCCUUUCGAUCGAGACGAAUGGCCUCCGGACGAAUACUUCGGAGGAGUGACGGUACCGAGAGAAGAAGCCCCGGCUAACUCCGUGCCAGCAGCCGCGGUAAUACGGGGGGGGCAAGCGUUGUUCGGAAUUACUGGGCGUAAAGGGCUCGUAGGUGGCCAACUAAGUCAGACGUGAAAUCCCUCGGCUUAACCGGGGAACUGCGUCUGAUACUGGAUGGCUUGAGAUUGGGAGAGGGAUGCGGAAUUCCAGGUGUAGCGGUGAAAUGCGUAGAUAUCUGGAGGAACACCGGUGGCGAAGGCGGCAUCCUGGACCAACACUGACACUGAGGAGCGAAAGCCAGGGGAGCAAACGGG